rnacentral:tRNA from 1 species
GGGGCUGUAGUUUAGUGUUAGAAUGCUUGUCUAACAUGCAUGAAGCCCUGGGAUCUAUCCCUAGCAUCCUGA